GAGUUUGAUCCUGGCUCAGAACGAACGCUGGCGGCGUGCUUAAUACAUGCAAGUCGAACGAGAAAGUCUGACUUCGGUUGGGCGAGUAAAGUGGCGAACGGGUGAGGAACACGUGGAUAAUCUGCCCUUAAAUCUGGGAUAAUCCUUCGAAAGGAGGCCUAAUACCGGAUGACACCGCGCGAUGGCAUCAUUGUGCGUUCAAAGGCGGGGCAACCUGCCGUUUAGGGAUGAGUCCGCGUUCCAUUAGCUAGUUGGUGGGGUAAAAGCUCACCAAGGCUACGAUGGAUAGCCGGCCUGAGAGGGUGACCGGCCACACUGGGACUGAGAUACGGCCCAGACUCCUACGGGAGGCAGCAGUAGGGAAUAUUGCGCAAUGGACGAAAGUCUGACGCAGCAACGCCGCGUGGGUGAUGAAGCAUUUCGGUGUGUAAAACCCUGUCAGUGGGAAAGAAACGUACGGGUAGUAACUGACUCGUGCCUGACGGUACCCACAGAGGAAGUCCCGGCUAACUCCGUGCCAGCAGCCGCGGUAAUACGGGGGGGACAAGCGUUGUUCGGAUUUACUGGGCGUAAAGGGCGCGUAGGCGGACCGUCAAGUCGGAUGUGAAAACUGGCAGCUUAACUGCCAGCCUGCAUUUGAUACUGUCGGCCUUGAGUACAGGAGAGGAGAGUGGAAUUCCAGGUGUAGCGGUGAAAUGCGUAGAUAUCUGGAAGAACACCAGUAGCGAAGGCGGCUCUCUGGACUGAUACUGACGCUCAAGCGCGAAGGC
rnacentral:rRNA from 1 species